GAUGAACGCUAGCGGCAGGCCUAACACAUGCAAGUCGAGGGGUAACAUAGGAAAGCUUGCUUUUCUGAUGACGACCGGCGCACGGGUGCGUAACGCGUAUACAACCUACCUUUUAGCGGGGAAUAGCCCAGGGAAACUUGGAUUAAUGCCCCAUAGUAUAUAGACUUCUCCUGAAGUUUAUAUUAAACAUUUAUGGCUAUUAGAUGGGUAUGCGUCCUAUUAGUUAGUUGGUAAGGUAACGGCUUACCAAGGCAGCGAUAGGUAGGGGUCCUGAGAGGGAGAUCCCCACACUGGUACUGAGACACGGACCAGACUCCUACGGGAGGCAGCAGUGAGGAAUAUUGGACAAUGGGCGAGAGCCUGAUCCAGCCAUGCCGCGUGCAGGAAGACUGCCCUAUGGGUUGUAAACUGCUUUUACAGAGGAAGAACCACCCCACGUGUGGGGGUUUGACGGUACUCUGCGAAUAAGGAUCGGCUAACUCCGUG
rnacentral:rRNA from 1 species